rnacentral:rRNA from 1 species
AUACGUAGAUGGCAAGCGUUAUCCGGAUUUACUGGGUGUAAAGGGCGCGUAGGCGGGGGUGCAAGUCAGAUGUGAAAUCUAUGGGCUUAACUCAUAAACUGCAUUUGAAACUGUAUCUCUUGAGUGCUGGAGAGGUAGACGGAAUUCCUUGUGUAGCGGUGAAAUGCGUAGAUAUAAGGAAGAACACCAGUGGCGAAGGCGGUCUACUGGACAGUAACGGACGCUGAGGCGCGAAAGCGUGGGGAGCAAACAAGAUUAGAUACCCUGGUAGUCCACGCUGUAAACGAUGAAUACUAGGUGUGGGGGGACUGACCCCCUCCGUGCCUCAGUUAACACAAUAAGUAUUCCACCUGGGGAGUACGGCCGCAAGGUUGAAACUCAAAUUAAUUGACGGAG